CAUCUCGGCUCGCUGCAGCCUCCCUGCCUGAUUCUCCUGACUCAGCCUGCCCAGUGCCUGCGAUUGCAGGCUCGCGCCGCCACGCCUGACUGGUUUUGGUGGAGACGGGGUUUCGCUGUGUUGGCCAGGCCGGUCUCCAGCCCUUAACCGCAAGUGAUCCGCCAGCCUCGGCCUCCCGAGGUGCCGGGAUUGCAGAUGGAGUCUCGUUCACUCAGUGCUCAAUGGUGCCCAGGCUGGAGUGCAGUGGCGUGAUCUCGGCUCGCUGCAACCUCCACCUCCCAGCCGCCUGCCUUGGCCUCCCAAAGUGCCGGGAGUGCAGCCUCUGCCCGGCCGCCACCCCGUCUGGGAAGUGAGGAGCGUCUCUGCCUGGCCGCCCAUCAUCUGGGAUGUGAGGAGCCCCUCUGCCUGGCUGCCCAGUCUGGAAAGUGAGGAGCGUCUCCGCCCGGCUGCCAUCCCACCUAGGAAGUGAGGAACACCUCUUCUCGGCCGCCAUCACAUCUAGGAAGUAAGGAGCGUCUCUGCCCGGCCGCCCAUCGUCUGAGAUGUGGGGAGCGCCUCUGCCCCGCCGCCCCAUCUGGGAUGUGAGGAGCACCUCUGCCCGGCCCCAACCCCGUCUAGGAGGAAUAGUAAACAAAGCAAGUAUCUCCUGAACAAGGAAAAACAAUGAUUCUCAUCUGUAACUACUAUCAACUAAAAUCAAAUUUUUUAAAGACUCACUACUGAGAAGUGACAGCUACUGGUGAGAAAAAAAAAUUCAACAACUAAAAAAAAACACAACAGUGUGGAUUCCCUGUUUAGUUGUCUAUAUUUCCCACUAGAUGAGCAAGCACUAUGUCUAUCUUUUUCAUUUUAAUUCCUGCUCUAGCAUAUUGCCUGGCACAUACUAGGUGCUCAAUACAUUGUAAAAUGAAAUAACACUAAAGUCUUGAGUAGCAGAGUUGAUUGUACAAAAUAAUAAAUUCAUAUUUGUCUCAGUAAUUUCUUUUGUGGAGUGAUUUUUCAAUAUAGUUAUUCUACACAUCAAAUUAUAUUAAGUUCUGACAUAUGUUUUAGGCCAACUCAAGACAAUGAAAGUAACAAGGCCAUGUAUGCAA
rnacentral:lncRNA from 10 species